rnacentral:rRNA from 1 species
UACGGGGGGGGCAAGCGUUGUUCGGAAUUACUGGGCGUAAAGGGCUCGUAGGCGGCCAACUAAGUCAGACGUGAAAUCCCCAGGCUCAACCUGGGAACUGCGUCUGAUACUGGUUGGCUUGAAUCCGGGAGAGGGAUGCAGAAUUCCAGGUGUAGCGGUGAAAUGCGUAGAUAUCUGGAGGAACACCGAUGGCGAAGGCAGGUCUCUGGGCAUUAACUGACGCUGAGGAGCGAAAGCAUGGGGAGCGAACAGG